rnacentral:rRNA from 1 species
AGGGAAUCUUCCACAAUGGACGCAAGUCUGAUGGAGCAACGCCGCGUGAGUGAAGAAGGCUUUCGGGUCGUAAAACUCUGUUAUUGAAGAAGAACGUGUGUGACAGUAACUGGUCAUGCAGUGACGGUAUUCAAUCAGAAAGUCACGGCUAACUACGUGCCAGCAGCCGCGGUAAUACGUAGGUGGCAAGCGUUGUCCGGAUUUAUUGGGCGUAAAGCGAGUGCAGGCGGUCUUUUAAGUCUGAUGUGAAAGCCUUCGGCUUAACCGAAGAAGGGCAUCGGAAACUGGGAGACUUGAGUGCAGAAGAGGAGAGUGGAACUCCAUGUGUAGCGGUGAAAUGCGUAGAUAUAUGGAAGAACACCAGUGGCGAAGGCGGCUCUCUGGUCUGUAACUGACGCUGAGGCUCGAAAGCGUGGGUAGCAAACAGGAUUAGAUACCCUGGUAGUCCACGCCGUAAACG